UACGUAGGGGGCAAGCGUUACUCGGAAUUACUGGGCGUAAAGGGUGUGUAGGCGGCCGAGCAAGUCGAAGAUGAAAUCCCAGGGCUCAACCCUGGAAUUGUCUUCGAUACUGCUUGGCUUGAGGGUAGUGGAGGAGAGCGGAAUUCCCGGUGGAGCGGUGAAAUGCGUAGAGAUCGGGAGGAACACCAGAGGCGAAGGCGGCUCUCUAUGCUACUCCUGACGAUGAGGCACGAAAGAUAGGGGAGCAAACGGG
rnacentral:rRNA from 1 species